rnacentral:rRNA from 1 species
AUUGAACGCUGGCGGAAUGCUUUACACAUGCAAGUCGGACGGCAGCACGGACUUCGGUCUGGUGGCGAGUGGCGAACGGGUGAGUAAUGUAUCGGAACGUGCCCAGCCGUGGGGGAUAACGUAGUGAAAAUUACGCUAAUACCGCAUACGAUCUAUGGAUGAAAGCGGGGGAUCGCAAGACCUCGCGCGAUUGGAGCGGCCGAUAUCAGAUUAGGUAGUUGGUGGGGUAAGGGCCCACCAAGCCAACGAUCUGUAGCUGGUCUGAGAGGACGACCAGCCACACUGGAACUGAGACACGGUCCAGACUCCUACGGGAGGCAGCAGUGGGGAAUUUUGGACAAUGGGCGAAAGCCUGAUCCAGCCAUUCCGCGUGCAGGAUGAAGGCCCUCGGGUUGUAAACUGCUUUUGUACAGAACGAAAAGGUUUCUACUAAUACUAGGAGCUCAUGACGGUACUGUAAGAAUAAGCACCGGCUAACUACGUGCCAGCCGCCGCCGUAA